GAAUUACUGCAUGAGAAUGUCUUAGGAUAAUUACCUAUUUGAGUCAAGGAAACACAUGAAUUAUUAGAUGACAAAUUGGUAGGUAGCAAUUUUAGGGUUUGAUAAAUUUGCUCUUGCAACAUGGUAGUAAUUAAUAAUGGAAAAUAGUAAAUCUACCAAACCAAGUAACCUGAACCAAACCAGAAUUGUUGAACCAACAAUGAGUAGUGAACUGAACCAGUGAACACUCCCAAAUAGUGAACUAAACCAAGUAAUGAGUUGAACCAGCUAAGUCGACCAAGCUGGAAAAAAAAUCAGACCAGACCGGUUGAAACAAAACCGAACCAGUUUACACUAAUUUUAUAUGGCUUCUACGAACACGAAAUAACAGAACUCCACGAUGCAAACUCAUGAAGAGGAACGUUGAACAAAGAAGAGGGGGUUAGUCGAUUCCGUUGAGAUUAAGAGGAUUCCACCGAUGGUUCCAUUGGAACAAUCACCAUUCACCGGAUCAAUAAAGGUGUGGGAACUCUUCUGAGGUACGCAAGCUCUUCCUAAGGUGGGGUUGAAGCUGCAACACUUAAAAACAAAAUCCAAAAGAUAGCGACAAUGUGAUGGCGUCGUGCAACUAUGGCUUGCCUCGUCGAUUUGUACUUGUUCAAGCCAGAUCAGAAUUCCCAACUUGAGAAGACGACCUGCGAUCGGAAGUAAGGUGUGCUAUUUAAGACAGCAGCUAGGGUUUCGACAAUGAUAGGCUAGGAUUCUGGCUAUGGCGGCUAGGUUUUUAGGAUUUUAGACAUAACUAUGAUUUUCCAGCUUUGAUACCAUGCUAAAAAAACAUUAUUUUUUCUCUUAUUAAUCUUAGGAAGAGAGAGUUUCUUAAAUAGAAGAAAUACCCAAUUACAAAUAAGGAAAUAAUAAAAUAAUUACAAAUAAGGAAAUACAGCAAAUAUAAUACAAUAAGUACAAUAUAAAAUUUCACAAUAAAGGAAAUAUUCAACAGAUAGAUUUUCUUCUGUUGCUAAAUUAACUUCCAUUUGACUAUUUAUAUCGAUGACUACUACUCACAAUUAGCCUUUGUAUCAAAUCGACAUUAAAAAUGCUUUUUUUCAUGUUGAUCUUCAAGAGGAAGUCUAGAUGGAGCAAUCAUUUGGGUUUGUUGCUCAGGGGGAGAAUGAUAAGGUGUGUCGUCUUCAAAAAUCUUUGUAUGGACUGAAACAAAGUCCUCGUGCAUGGUUUGGUAUCCUCUCUCAAGGCUUUUCUCCAGGGUCAAUUUCAUACCAAAGAUUUUGGGCCAUUGAAGUAUUUCUUGGGUAUUGAAGUAAUGAGAAGCAAAAAGGUAUUUACCUGUCCCAACGAAAAUACGUACUUGAUUUGUUGUCUGAGACAGGUAAAUUAGGAGUCAAACCAUGCAGUACUUCGAUGAUACCAAAUUUGCAACUUGCUAAGGAAGGAGAAUUGUUUAAAGAUCCUGAGAGAUAUAGAAGAUUAGUUGGAAAGUUGAACUAUUUAACAAUGACAUGACCUUACAUUGCUUAUUCUGUGAGUAUUGUGAGUCAAUUUAUGUCUUCCCCAACUGUGGAUCAUUGGGCUGCAGUUGACUAAAUCUAUGUUAUCUAAAAGUUGUACCUGGACAUAGGAUCUUAUAUAAAGAUCAUGGUCAUAUAAGGGUUGAAUGUUUUUCAGAUGCUGACUGGGCCGACGAGAAGAUAGGAAAUCGACCUUUGGAUAUUGUGUUUUGUAGGAGGAAACUUGGUGCCGUGGAAAAGUAAGAAACAAAAUAUAGUUUUCUAUUCGAGUGCUGAGUCAGAAUAUAGAUCUAUGGCACAAUCUGUAUGUGAAAUAGUGUGGAUACAUCAAUUUUUGUCUGAGAUUGGCUUGAGUGUUACUGUGCUAGCUAAACUAAGGUGUGAUAAUCAAGUUGCUCUCCAUAUUGUAUCCAACCUAGUAUUUCAUAAACGAAUUAAAUAUAUUGAAGUGGAUUGUCAUUUUAUUCACGAGAAAAUACAAGGUCGAUAUCUACAAUAUAUGUGAAGAGUGGAGAACAAUUGGGAGAUAUCCCUACUAAAACAGUAAACGGAGCAAGAAUAAGCUAUCUGUGCAACAAGAAGGGCAUGAUUAACAUAUUUGCUGGGGAGUGUUAUAAUAUAUAUUUAUAUUGUAAUUAUAAUUAGUUGUCCUUUAUUGUAAUUUUAUAUCUCCUAGAUUAGGGUUUGCCUAUAUAUACAUACGUACGUACGUACAUACAUACAUACAUACAUGCCUAUAUAUACAUACAUACAUACAUGUAUACAUACGUACUGUAUCUUCAGCCUGAUUAAUAGAAUAAGAUCAUUAUUCUCUCUAAAACUAUUGAGUACAAGACAUACUUCUUCUUUGAAUGUGCCAUGAAAGAAGGCAUUGCUCACAACAAGUUGAUGAAUUGGCCAAUGCCAAGUGAGAGCCGAAGUAAGAACAACCCAAAUGAAGGACAGUUUAAUGACAAGACUAUAAGUUUUACCUAGUCAAUUCUAGGUGUUUGAGAUAGCCUUUUGGCCACAAGGCGAGCCUUGGUGGAUAUGACCAUUCGUAUCAUGCUUGAUCUUAUACACCAUUUAGUAUCCACGACAUGGUUGAAAAGCAACUGGAAGGACCAAGUCCCAAGUAUGAUUAAGUUGGAGAGUACAAAAUCAUGAUCCAUAGCUUGGCACCAGGUAGAAAGAGGCCAUCAUGAAACAAUGAGGGUUCAAUAUAAGCCUAAUCAGUAGAGGGUAAGUUGGGUGAGGCAUCCAAAAAAGUGAACGACGCUCAGUAACGCCCGACUUAGCCCAGGUAAUCAUAGUAGGUUGGUUAAUAGGAGAAGGUGGGGAAGGGAAUUGGUGGCUGGGGAGGGUGAAAGAGGCAUGGAUACAUAGACGAUUACCCCACAUGGUCCUUUUCCCCAAUGCUGCCCAUGCGCAAGUCUGGAUAUGAUACGCUAGUCGCCUAUUCAUUCAUUGUCUCUUUGCUUAUAGAUUUUGGAAAGAAAUCUUUUCAUCAUUUGGAUGGUACACUACCCUCCCAAGGGACAUAGACAACGCCCUUAUCCUACACUCUCAAUGGUCAUCCCUUUACCAAAAACAAGAAGCUCAUUUGGAUGCAUCUGAUCUGUGCUUUCUUAUGGAUCACUUAAAAGGAGAGGGACAAUCGUCUUUUCAAUGACAAGGAAAGCUCUUUUGUUUUGUUUUUGUUUUUUUUUUUUUUAACUCAUUAUCUUCCAUGCUCUCUGUUGGUUUAAAUGUUUAUCCUCUUUUAAAUCAUAUACCCUUUCUUUCCUUUUGACCAAUUGGAGAUCUCUUAUGUAACUCUUUUGGCUUGAGCUUCGACCUUUUUUUUUUUUUUUUUUUUUUUGUAAAUU